AUAUGAGUGGAUCUGCAGUGAAGCUGCCACUGAACAUUUUGUGUUGAGUUUGUAUAUUUGGUCAGUUAUUGCACUAAAGGAAUCAGUCCUCAUGUUUUCUUAUUGAUUUGAUCUGCUCCAGAUGGUCCAAAGCUUCUGUCAGUGUCAGUGAGUCCCUCUGCUGAGAUAGUGGAGGGCAGUUCAGUGACUCUGACCUGUAGCAGUGAUGCUAACCCAGCAGCUAAUUACACCUGGUACAAGAAACAUGGAAAUCCAAGUCUUCAACCAGCCAGUAAACGGUUUAACUUCAGCUCCAUCCAGUCCUCUGACUCUGGAGAGUAUUACUGUACAGCUGAGAAUGAUCUGGGAAGGAGAACAUCUGGAUCCAUCUUUAUUCAUGUGACAUGUGAGUCAAACAGCUUCUUUAGAAAGCAACAUACAGCUAAUAAUAGAUUAUACAGUCACAUAUUCAUAUAUAAUGUUGUAAAAACCAGGAACCAGUUUUGCUGAUCAUACCUGUUUCUUCAGCUGUGCCUGCUGCCAGUCACAAAACCACCUCUAAAGUUUCCACUAACAGACUGAGGCUUGACACUGAUUAACAGACAGUAUCAGCUGACAAAUGACUGAUCACUCUGAUGUAGAUCUCCUGUCUGUUGGGGUCCAGUUCCAGGUCAAUCAGUAAGAAUCAUGAAUAUCAUCAGAUUGACUCUGGUGGUCCUGAUGCUGAUUCCUCUGCUUGUCUUGAGUCUGUGGACGAGGAAGAAGAAAACUUUGUGUUUCAAAGCUGAACUGAAGGAACCUGUAGAGAUGACAGAGUUUGACUCUGAUCCUGUUUAUCCGAACAUCUCAGCCUUGACGCCCAUCGCUGCAGCUCAGACAGACGACUCAGAGGAGCAGGAAGACCUGGUGUGAAGUCCAGUCUGGUUAGAGCCUCAUGUACGGUCAUACAAAUAGACUGGUUGUGUAAAUACAGAUAUUUGAGCAUUGACUUAGUUAGAGUGCAGUGCUGGGGGGAGUCCUGACCUUUGACAGUGUUAUUGUGGCAGGUGUUAGAAUAAAAGAGUUUAAAACUGGGUGGUCUCAAACCACCGUGGGGGUAAAACAGCCUCAGAGUCUGCAGGCAGGACACUUGAGGGGCUUAUUGGCAAAAUGUAAUCUUUUAAAGAUUUGACUUUCUUUACAUCUACCAAAAUAAAGAAAUACAUCAGUGAAGGUGUUUGUGGAGUCUGUGGUUUUGUGGCUGGUUUUGGACUCAUGGGAGGAGCAAAGCUUUUCAUAAUUGUGCCAGGUGUUUCCUGGGUGUUUGGAAGGUUGGUAUUUCCAGGUAGUGGAACAGGUUCAUUUUUCUGAUUGACAGACAAAAACAAACUAAUAUUGAAAUGAUAUACAGCAGAGUGGGCCUCAGAUAAUGGUUAUGUGUAAUAUGUGUUUGAGAUAUGGGUUUAAAGGUGAGUCCUUUAAUUUGUAGAAAACUGAUAUUUUCUCUGUCAGAGAGAAGAUGUUAUAAAUGUAAAUAUGACAGGACAACAAAUAUGUGGAGAAAAGCAAAGGUGCAAACUUAUUGUGAACUCAAAAUGAUGGAUUUUUAAUGGAUGACAGAAAAGCCAAAGAUUUGUGAUGUGAAGUGUGAUGUGAAGUGAUGCCCUGGA
ensembl:lncRNA